AUGGAAUGAUAGAGGUUGUUCACCCUCAGCAAGUAUGCCAAUGACACAAAGCUGGUAAUAGUGACCAACAUGCCAGAAGGAUGUCCUGCCAUUCAGUGAGACCUGGGCAGGCUGGAGAGAUGAGCAGGAAGAAACCAAAUUAAGUUUAAUAAGAGCAAGUGUAGAGUCCUACACCUGGGAAGGAACAGCCACAUGUAUCAGUACA